UUUUUUUUAAGUAUAAUUAUUUUAUCACUUCUAAAUAUGCUUAGUUUGGUAUUGAGAUCUAUCUUAUCUAACGUUAUUAGAUAGAAUGGAGUUGAGAAAAAGCAACGCUAUUAGAUAGAAUGGAGUUGAGAAAAAACAUAUAGAGGUAUGCUUCUGCGUUUUCUGAUGGGACCGUAGAAAUAUAUCGUAACUGACUAACCGCAAUAUGCGGAACACAACAUUACGUAUGGAAACAAACAUGAUAUUUUUUAAUCGUUGUUUCUCACCGCACGUAAUGCAAUCUCCUCGCAAUCCCAAACGAAGCCUUAGUGUAAGUGACAAAGGACUUAAUGGUUGGUAUCUGAGAUUUUAAUUUUGAAAUCUAGUUACUUUACUUUUUUCAGGCAAAUUUAUUUCUGAAAAUGAACGAAACAGCUAGGAUACUAUUUUUCAAUCUAAAAUGCACAAAAGUUUAGAAACUAAACUAUUUAA
rnacentral:lncRNA from 1 species